UACGGGGGGGGGCAAGCGUUGUUCGGAAUUACUGGGCGUAAAGGGCUCGUAGGUGGCCAACUAAGUCAGACGUGAAAUCCCCAGGCUCAACUUGGGAACUGCGUCUGAUACUGGAUGGCUUGAAUUCGGGAGAGGGAUGCAGAAUUCCAGGUGUAGCGGUGAAAUGCGCAGAUAUCAGGAGGAACACCGGUGGCGAAAGCGACUUCCUGGACCAGUACCGACGUUCAGGCACGAAAGCGUGGGGAGCAAACAGG
rnacentral:rRNA from 1 species